rnacentral:rRNA from 1 species
GACGAACGCUGGCGGCGUGCUUAACACAUGCAAGUCGAACGGAAAGGCCCUGAUUUUGUGGGGUGCUCGAGUGGCGAACGGGUGAGUAACACGUGAGUAACCUGCCCUUGACUUUGGGAUAACUUCAGGAAACUGGGGCUCAUACCGGAUAGGAGCUCCUGCUGCAUGGGGGGGGUUGGAAAGUUUCGGCGGUUGGGGAUGGACUCGCGGCGUAUCAGCUUGUUGGUGGGGUAGUGGCUUACCAAGGCUUUGACGGGUAGCCGGCCUGAGAGGGUGAGAGGCGGCACUGGGACAGAGGUGCGGCCCAGACUCCGACUGGUGCCAGCAGUGGGAAAUAUUGAACAAGGGACGGAGGCCGGAUGCAGCAGCGCCGCGGGCGGGAUGACGGCCUUCUGGUUGUAGACCGCUUUCGCCUGUGACGAAGCGUGUGUGACGGGAACGGAUAAAGAAACACCGGCUAACUUCGGG